rnacentral:rRNA from 1 species
CCCUACGGGGCGCAGCAGUGGGGAAUAUUGGACAAUGGGCGCAAGCCUGAUCCAGCAAUUCCGCGUGGGUGAAGAAGGUCUUCGGAUUGUAAAGCCCUUUCGUUGGGGACGAUGAUGACGGUACCCAAAGAAGAAGCCCCGGCUAACUUCGUGCCAGCAGCCGCGGUAAUACGAAGGGGGCUAGCGUUGCUCGGAAUGACUGGGCGUAAAGGGCGCGUAGGCGGCACAACUCGUCAGGCGUGAAAUUCCCGGGCUUAACCUGGGGACUGCGUUUGAUACGGUUGAGCUAGAGGAUGGAAGAGGCUCGUGGAAUUCCCAGUGUAGAGGUGAAAUUCGUAGAUAUUGGGAAGAACACCGGUGGCGAAGGCGGCGAGCUGGUCCAUUACUGACGCUGAGGCGCGAAAGCGUGGGGAGCAAACAGGAUUAGAUACCCGUGUAGUCCC